rnacentral:tRNA from 1 species
GAGGGUAUAGCUCAAGUGGUAGAGCAUCUGCUUAGCAGGCACAAGGUCCUGAGUUCAAUUCCCAGUACCUCCG